GGGGAUGUUUUGGAUUCGCUGUGAUUUAUGAAGGCUUAUAAGCAUGUGGGAGUAGGCUCCCUUAAAAACGUCGAGGUUUAAAUAACCGCAAACGAAGAAAACAAUGAAUAUGCAUUCUUAGCUGCAAGAAAUAAUUCUUGUGCUAACUAUGCAUUUGCUUGCUAAUAGUAAAUACAAGCAGCUCACCUAGCUAAUUUCCUAUGUUAGCUAGCUUGAGUUUUAACUCAGUAGGAUAUAUUAAGAUUCUGCUACUCUAAGAAUUAUUAAUGAAUCUAGUAGAGUGUAGUUAGCUUUUGGUUGGUCAUUUCGCUUAGGGCUAAUGAAAAUUUAGAUUUGACUAAACAUGUAGAAAGUAAGUUGAAUUAGGUUGCAUACACGGGUUCGAGUCCCGUCAUCUCCACCA
rnacentral:tmRNA from 1 species